GUGCUGCCUUGGAGCCCCCACCAGGCACCUCCCUGUGGCGGCAAAGGUCAGGCUUCAGUGCCCAAGUGUGUGCUUGUGCAUAAUGGGGGCUGCCCCCACCUUGCAGGUGGCCUCUUAAAUUGUGAGCAUCAUGG
ensembl:snoRNA